rnacentral:rRNA from 1 species
CCAGACUCCUACGGGAGGCAGCAGUGGGGAAUAUUGCACAAUGGGGGAAACCCUGAUGCAGCGACGCCGCGUGAGUGAAGAAGUAUUUCGGUAUGUAAAGCUCUGUCAGCAGGGAAGAAAAUGACGGUACCUGACUAAGAAGCCCCGGCUAACUACGUGCCAGCAGCCGCGGUAAUACGUAGGGGGCAAGCGUUAUCCGGAUUUACUGGGUGUAAAGGGAGCGUAGACGGUAGAGCAAGUCUGAAGUGAAAGCCCGCGGCUCAACUGCGGGACUGCUUUGGAAACUGUUCAACUGGAGUGCCGGAGAGGUAAGCGGAAUUCCUAGUGUAGCGGUGAAAUGCGUAGAUAUUAGGAGGAACACCAGUGGCGAAGGCGGAUUGCUGGACAGUAACUGACGUUGAGGCGCGAAAGCGUGGGGAGCAAACAGGAUUAGAUACCCUCGUAU